UUGGUUUCACUCUAGUCAGAAAAGUGGCUCCUAUGUUUCCAGGAUUUGAUCUUAAGCACAUUUAAAUUCUCUAGUUUUUAGUGUCUUCAAAACUGAAAAAGAUAAAUUAUAAUAUCUUAAUUUGGAGUUCUCUUUUUCCACUCUGUUGCUUUCUUUCAGAGCUGGACAGCCUAAGUGACCCAACUCACUCGGAGUAGAAGUCCCACUAAAAUAAUGAUACUUAUGGUGAUGGUAACAUUUUCUGAGCUCAACAAAUGCCUAUCACUGCUCUAUGUGCAUUUUUUAUCCUCAUCAAUCAGCUAUUGUUAUCUUCAAUCUUUACAAAUAAGGAAGUAGAGCUCUGAGAGGGUAAGAGAUUUGCCUCAGGUCACACAGUUUAUAAAUGGCUGACAUUGGAAUCAAACCCCGGCCUUCUACCAACGCACUGAAUUGCCUGUUGGUUAAAAUUACUGUUAAGGCUGAAUUGUGUCUCCUCAAAAUUCAGGUGACCCCAGGACCUCAGAAAAUGACUGCAUUUGGAGAUAGGGCCUUUGAAGAGGUGACUGAGUUAAGAUGAGGCCGUUAGAAUGAGCCCUAACCGCAUCUGCCUGGGGUCCCUGUAAGAGGAACACGAGAGCUGAGCCCACACAGAGACAGAGAGGCCAUGUGAGGAUGCAACGGGAAGGAGGCUGUCCACACGCUGAAGAGUGAGGCCUCGGGAGACAUCAGCUUAGCCAGCACCUGGAGCUUCUAGAACAUGGGAAAAAUACAUCCUCUUGUUCAAACCAUCGAAUCUAAGGUCCAUGUUAGGCAGAAAGAGGGAUUGAUUCUCAAGGAGCUAUAGUUCGUCCAUCCUUCUUAGAUCUGUAUUUCUCAAAGUGAAAUGGAAUCACUGAGGAGCUCCUUAAAAAUGAUGAUGCAAGAUGAUAAAAUGUCCACGUGAUGAGAUGAAGUGAAGUGAAUGACAUAGGCACUGUGACAGAGCUUUAGGUUACUCUUGACCUUCUGAUAUGACAGAAGAAAGAUCAUCUGCUUCUAGACCACGGUUGACCACAGAUUGAAGGUUUGUGGCAAACCUGCAUUAAAACAAGUCUACAGACCUCAUUUCUCCAACAGCAUUUGCUCACGUCAUGUCUUUAUGUCACAUUCUGAUGGUGCAAUAAAGACCUAAAAAUAUCAAAGAAGUUUUCUGAAACAUUACAAAAUGGCCUUUUGAAAUGGACCCGAUGAAGUUUGUCCCUGCCAGGUCUCCUGUACCCUUUGCCCAGUGCUCCCAUGCCUGUCAAAUAUGUCAAAAACAGAGGGGAUUUUCAUCAAUUGUGUUGGCUCCUUCCUUCACUUCCUGGAACUCAUGUGAGGUGAACAUGUCAGCACCAUAGAGGAAGCCACAGGAACAGGAGAGGAGAGGGGAGCAAUGGCAACCCCUAGUCAGGGAAGGCACUUCUGUGGGGACAUGUUCUUGUCAGAUUCAGAUUCAGAAAAAUGCCUUGCCCUUGUCUAGGUCCCUCAUGAAACCCCGAGGACACAAGCACCUGUAAAUUUGGGGGCUGGCGGCUUCCAUUGCCGCCCGUUUGAGACAAGAGGGAAUCUUUGAGUUUGAGGGGGCUGGAGUGGGAAAUGAAGGUCUGGGUAACGGACGCGAUCUCUAGUUUUUCCCCUUGCAAUGUUAGUUCACAUAUCAUAAAAUCCACUCUUUAAAAGUAUGCAAUUCAGUGGUUUUUAAUGUAUUCUGAAUUGUGUGACUGUCACCACAGUCUAAUUCCAGAACAUUUUCAUCACCUCGGAAGGAAAUCUCAUGCCCAUUAGCAGUCAUCCCCCAAUCUUCCCUCCAGCCCCUGGCAAUCAUUUUUGUCUCUAUGGACUUGUCUACUUUGUCUGUUUUGGGCAUUUCAAAUGAAUUACUUUUAUUUGAAUGUGACUUUUUGUGAUUAUAACAUUCCCAAGGUUCUUCCACGUUGUGGCAUCUA